rnacentral:lncRNA from 1 species
UGUUGGAGACCAGGCUGGGUUCAGUGUGUGGAUGUGUAUAGUAUAUGUACCCGCUCCCCAUGGAGCUGUAGUAGAAGAUUAGGUGACAUUGGACCCCCUAAUCUGCAGGCCAUAGAGGGAACAUGGGACAUCUCCAGGCCAACUCCUUUUCUUAGUGAUGAGCAGUGACUUGCUUGAGAAUGUGAUCCUCCCAGCAACGCAAUGAGUCAUAUUGCAUGACCCUCAUCUUAUGAAUGAAGAAACAGAAGCUCCCAGAGGUGCCACUCGCCCGCGGUCACAGAGCUGAUGUUGCUAUGUCAAAUGUUCUCGGAACUCACAGAUCCAACUAAGUCAUGAAGCCCUAGGAAACGGGGACUGUAGUCUCUCAGGAUGAUGUACUGGCCUAAGCAGAACAAGUUUCUUUUGACACUGCUUCUUGUUCACACCUUUCCCG